rnacentral:sRNA from 1 species
GCUCUUUGGUCGGGUUGUUGUCUCUUCGACACAUUCCCCAUUUCCAUUUUCAAUUUUAUGCUGAAUAUAAAUUGAAUAAUAAAUCUUAAAAUUGAAAGUGGAAAUGGAGAAUGUGUCUAAGAGACCCAACCUGACCAAAAUA